rnacentral:rRNA from 1 species
AAAGCGUGCGAUAGAGUUAGUGGCGGACGGGUGAGUAACGCGUGAGCAACCUGCCUUUGAUAGGGGGAUAACAGAGGGAAACUUCUGCUAAUACCGCAUGAUGCAUGGGGAUCGCAUGGUAUCCAUGCCAAAGGAGCAAUCCGAUCAAAGAUGGGCUCGCGUCCGAUUAGAUAGUUGGUGGGGUAACGGCCCACUAAGUCGACGAUCGGUAGCCGGACUGAGAGGUUGAACGGCCACAUUGGAACUGAGAGACGGUCCAGACUCC